AACGAACGCUGGCGGCAUGCCUAACACAUGCAAGUCGAACGAGACCGUCGGGCCUAGUGGCGCACGGGUGCGUAACGCGGGGGAACCUGCCCUUAGUUUCCUAAUAAUUCCCCGAAAGGGGUGCUAAUACCGGAUAAUGUCUUUGGACCAAAGGUGUACCGCGUUUGGCUGGGCGCGCGUUGGAUUAGCGAGUUGGUAGGGGAAGAUCCUACCAAGGCGAGGGUCCAUAGCUGGUCAGAGAGGAUGAGCAGCCACACUGGGACUGAGACGCGGCCCAGACUCGUACGAGAGGGCGCAGUGGGGGAUAGUGGACUGUGGGCGAAAGGCUGAUGCAGCGAUGGCGCGUGAGUGAUGAAGGCCUUAGGGUUGUGAAGCUCUUUUAGGCGGGAUGGUAAUGACGGUACCGGGAGAAUAAGCACCGGCUAACUACGUG
rnacentral:rRNA from 1 species